rnacentral:rRNA from 1 species
UACGGAAGAGGCAAGCGUUGUUCGGAAUCACUGGGCUUAAAGCGCGUGUAGGCGGCCUUGCAAGUACCUUGUGAAAUCCCUCCCCUCAACGGAGGAAUUGCUUGGUAUACUGCAGGGCUUGAGGCAGGUAGGGGUCACUGGAACUCUAGGUGGAGCGGUGAAAUGCGUAGAUAUCUAGAGGAACGCCCGUGGCGAAAGCGGGUGACUGGGCCUGUCCUGACGCUGAGACGCGAAAGCGUGGGUAGCAAACGGG